rnacentral:rRNA from 1 species
AAACUCAAAGGAAUUGACGGGGGCCCGCACAAGCGGUGGAGCAUGUGGUUUAAUUCGACGCAACGCGCAGAACCUUACCAGCCCUUGACAUGUCCAGGACCGGUCGCAGAGAUGUGACCUUCUCUUCGGAGCCUGGAACACAGGUGCUGCAUGGCUGUCGUCAGCUCGUGUCGUGAGAUGUUGGGUUAAGUCCCGCAACGAGCGCAACCCCCGUCCUUAGUUGCUACCAUUUAGUUGAGCACUCUAAGGAGACUGCCGGUGAUAAGCCGCGAGGAAGGUGGGGAUGACGUCAAGUCCUCAUGGCCCUUACGGGCUGGGCUACACACGUGCUACAAUGGCGGUGACAAUGGGAAGCGAAGGGGCAACCCCUAGCAAAUCUCAAAAAGCCGUCUCAGUUCGGAUUGGGCUCUGCAACUCGAGCCCAUGAAGUUGGAAUCGCUAGUAAUCGUGGAUCAGCACGCCACGGUGAAUACGUUCCCGGGCCUUGUACACACCGCCCGUCACACCAUGGGAGUUGGUUUUACCUGAAGACGGUGCGCUAACCGAAAGGGGGCAGCCGGCCACGGUAGGGUCAGCGACUGGGGUGAAGUCGUAACAAGGUAGCCGUAGGG